rnacentral:rRNA from 1 species
GCAGCCUCGGCAUACAGGGCUCAGUUUCUUGGCUUGGUGGACACGGAUAUGAAUCAAAAUGUGUGGAAGAACUGGGCGUCCCCAAAGUGUAAGUUUUUCGCUUGGCUUGUUAUCAACAAUAGAAUUUGGACGGCUGACAGACUCCACCGCCGUGGGUGGCCGAAUUGCAAUCUCUGUCCGCUAUGCCAACAAGUUCCGGAAUCGGCGGCCCACCUCCUUUUCCAAUGUCGGUAUACCAUUCGAGCCUGGGGCAUGAUCAAAGGUUGGCUUGCGCUUCACGAUGUUCGGUCGGAUGAGUGGAUUGUUCUGGACUCGGUUAAGGAUUGGUGGACUCGGAAUGCCACAAAGCAAACUCCGUCGAGAAGGCCGCUUAUCUCGCUGAUGAUGCUCAUCUCUUGGGAAAUAUGGAAGGAACGAAAUGCUCGAGUUUUUCGCAGCACUGCAGUUCCGGUUGGAGUGUUGGUCGCUAAGAUCAAAGAGGAGUGUUCGCUUUGGAGCUUUGCAGGAGCAAAAUAUUUAAGUAACAUUAUGCCGCGAGAGUGA